rnacentral:lncRNA from 1 species
UGAGUGAAGCUGAGGAAGAGUUUGGAUAUGAUCAUCCUAUGGGUGGCCUCACAAUUCCUUGCAGUGAAGAAGUCUUCCAACGUAUAACUUCUUGCUUGAAUGGACAAUAAAUGUCAUACUUUAGGAGACUAAUAUAGAUAGAUUAGUGGAGACAUUUUUGUACAAUAGGCGUCUUCUCAACUUGUAAACAUCUCCCUUUUGUGAGAAAGAACGAUAUUUUUUUGUUCAAUGAAAAGGAACUCAACUAUUCAAGUAGCUACUCAUUUUUUAUAGUUUACCAAUUUCAAUGUUCUGUUCUCUCUGCAUGAAUAAGGUUAAGUUCAGUUCAAAAACUAGACUUUGUUCUGUGAAAUUUCAAAGCGGAAAAGAUCACAUCCUAGAACGGUAGAGUGAAAAUAUUUUCACUUCGACCAAAGAGGAAAUAAAUUUAAUUGGGGCAACAAUGUUAAAUAGACAUACAUGGCAAAGAAAAAUUAUAAGAAGCCUGGGCCUUAGCAAAAGAGGUUAGUUCUCUGCUGAAAUACUUAUAAAAUUUCAUCCGAAAACAUUUAUAAAGAUGAACUUGGAAGUUAGAUAUCCGAAUUCUCGAGGAGGAACUGGAACAGGAACUAAAACGUGAUGGAGGAACAGGAGCGAGUAAAAAAUUAAGCAGAGAUAUAUAGUUAGUGUGUGAUUCUGAAAGAAGGAACUAAAAGAGCGAGUAAUAAAUUUAUUGAGAUUUGGCAAAAGGAAAAUGUGUUUAAACAAUUUCCAGUGUUUAGUAUUCUCAUUCAGGAAAAAGAAAGUAUAUUCUUAACAAAUUCACCUCAUGUAAUCUAUCUCAGGAAAAAAAACCCAUUUGUGAGAGAGCAACUUGUUAUGUUGGAGAAGCAAAGAAAUAGUGCAUAAAUAGUUGCUAAGGGCCUCUCCUUCACAUGGUGCUGUCUCACAGGUCUCUUUCAUGGAUUAGGAAGUUCAAUGGGAGGAGUGCAUACUCACCUUUCGAGAUUUUGGCCAACAAAUUACGCACCUGAGAAUCUAUAGUUUUUUCAUGCAUUGCGAUCGAUGUAACUAGUCCAAUGGUGGACACAUGCUUCUCCAAAUAAUUAAGAGGACAGUUGUAUUGAUAUAACGUGUACCAAUAGAUAAGAACCAGUAAUGUUCAAUACAUUAUCAUGAGAAACUUUGAACGUUAUGUACGGCCAAUUCUAACUCACCGCCCCACUUAAUAAUCGUCAACAUCAUCAACUUUCAAUUUUUCUUUGCAAAUGAAGAGACAUUUUGGGCUUCCCUAGAGAAGGAGGGACACUGUUAUCUUAACUAUUAUCCCAUGUUACGUUGAUUCAUGAGAAAGUGCCGAAGACAACACCAUAUGCCCUUGUCUCUCGGUUGGUCCCAUUACUCCAUUCCCUCCUUCACCAAUUAUUCUUCCAGCCAAUGGCCUUUUUACAUAUCUUUUCUCUAUAAAUAUUCAAGCCUUCAACCAUUUAGAACCAACACAAAUCAUUCACAUCCUAAAGCCUUCAAAACUGAAAAUCUUAUUCUCAAGACUUCUCUCAAACCAACACAACAAUGGGUUUUCGUCUACCUGGUAUCAGAAAGGAAAUAUUUUCAGCAAAUCAAGCAUCUUCAAAAGCGGUGGAUGCGCCAAAGGGCUAUCUUGCAGUCUAUGUCGGGGAGAAAAUGNNNNNNNNNNNNNNNNNNNNNNNNNNNNNNNNNNNNNNNNNNNNNNNNNNNNNNNNNNNNNNNNNNNNNNNNNNNNNNNNNNNNNNNNNNNNNNNNNNNNUUUGGAUAUUAUCAUUCCAUGGGUGGUCUCACAAUUCCUUGCAACGAAGAUGUCUUCCAACGGAUAACUUCUUGCUUCACUUCAAAAUAAAUCUUACACCUUUGGAGACUAACAUAGAUUAGUGAAGACAUUUUGUACAAUACUAGACUCAAAUUCAUACUUCAUUGACUGCGUCUUACGUGGUUAAGCAACGCUCUGUAUCAUUGUGACGAGUUACAAAUUCUUUAAUAGUGAAAUCAGUUCUCUUUCCAAGGAUUUGCUUCAUACUAAUUUUACCUUUAGCUUUGUACUAUAAGACCAUGACUGGUUUUUCAUUAGUAAUUGACCGAUAAGAUGUGUACUUACAAUACUGUGUUUGUGGAAAGGAUACAAUGAUAAGAAAAGCUGUUAAAGAGA